GCAUUAAUGGGGUAGUGGUAACCUGGGUCGUUGCCAUUUGUCGAGUGAAUCUCGACCCGCCGGGGGUUCGAUUCCCUCUUAAUGCA